GGAGAAGUACUCAAGUGGCUAAAGAGGCUCCCCUGCUAAGGGAGUAGGCCGGGAAACUGGUGCGCGGGUUCAAAUCCCGCCUUCUCCG
rfam:Clostridium tepidiprofundi DSM 19306 CLTE_contig000032, whole genome shotgun sequence.